GAUGAACGCUGGCGGCGUGCCUAAUACAUGCAAGUCGAGCGAAUGACGAGGAGCUUGCUCCUCUGAUUUAGCGGCGGACGGGUGAGUAACACGUGGGUAACCUGCCUGUAAGACGGGGAUAACUCCGGGAAACCGGAGCUAAUACCGGAUGAUAACGAGAAGCGCCUGCUUCUUUUUUGAAAGUCGGUUUCGGCUGACGCCUACAGAUGGGCCCGCGGCGCAUUAGCUAGUUGGUGAGGUAACGGCUCACCAAGGCGCCGAUGCGUAGCCGACCUGAGAGGGGGAUCGGCCACACUGGGACUGAGACACGGCCCAGACUCCUACGGGAGGCAGCAGUAGGGAAUCUUCGGCAAUGGACGAAAGUCUGACCGAGCAACGCCGCGUGAGCGAUGAAGGCCUUCGGGUCGUAAAGCUCUGUUGUCAGAGAAGAACAAGUACCGGAGUAACUGCCGGUACCUUGACGGUACCUGACCAGAAAGCCACGGCUAACUACGUGCCAGCAGCCGCGGUAACAC
rnacentral:rRNA from 1 species